UAGAGUUUGAUCCUGGCUCAGAUUGAACGCUGGCGGCAGGCUUAACACAUGCAAGUCGAGCGGGGAUAGGGUGCUUGCACCUGAUUCCUAGCGGCGGACGGGUGAGUAAUGCUUAGGAAUCUGCCUAUUAGUGGGGGGCAACGUUCCGAAAGGGACGCUAAUACCGCAUACGUCCUACGGGAGAAAGCAGGGGAUCUUCGGACCUUGCGCUAAUAGAUGAGCCUAAGUCGGAUUAGCUAGUUGGUGGGGUAAAGGCCUACCAAGGCGACGAUCUGUAGCGGGUCUGAGAGGAUGAUCCGCCACACUGGGACUGAGACACGGCCCAGACUCCUACGGGGGGCAGCA
rnacentral:rRNA from 1 species